CCUACGGGAGGCUGCAGUGGGGAAUAUUGGACAAUGGGCGAAAGCCUGAUCCAGCCAUGCCGCGUGUGUGAAGAAGGCCUUCGGGUUGUAAAGCACUUUCAGUGGGGAAGAAAGCCUUGGGGCUAAUACCCUCGAGGAAGGACAUCACCCACAGAAGAAGCACCGGCUAACUCCGUGCCAGCAGCCGCGGUAAUACGGAGGGUGCGAGCGUUAAUCGGAAUUACUGGGCGUAAAGCGCGCGUAGGCGGUCUGAUAAGCCGGUUGUGAAAGCCCCGGGCUCAACCUGGGAACGGCAUCCGGAACUGUCAGGCUAGAGUGCAGGAGAGGAAGGUAGAAUUCCCGGUGUAGCGGUGAAAUGCGUAGAGAUCGGGAGGAAUACCAGUGGCGAAGGCGACCUUCUGGACUGACACUGACGCUGAGGUGCGAAAGCGUGGGUAGCAAACAGGAUUAGAUACCCGGGUAGUC
rnacentral:rRNA from 1 species